rnacentral:rRNA from 1 species
ACAUGCAAGUCGAACGCACUCUCGUUUAGAUUGAAGGAGCUUGCUCCUGAUUGAUAAACAUUUGAGUGAGUGGCGGACGGGUGAGUAACACGUGGGUAACCUGCCCUAAAGUGGGGGAUAACAUUUGGAAACAGAUGCUAAUACCGCAUAAAACCUAACACCGCAUGGUGUAGGGUUGAAAGAUGGUUUCGGCUAUCACUUUAGGAUGGACCCGCGGUGCAUUAGUUAGUUGGUGAGGUAAAGGCUCACCAAGACCGUGAUGCAUAGCCGACCUGAGAGGGUAAUCGGCCACACUGGGACUGAGACACGGCCCAGACUCCUACGGGAGGCAGCAGUAGGGAAUCUUCCACAAUGGACGAAAGUCUGAUGGAGCAACGCCGCGUGAGUGAAGAAGGUUUUCGGAUCGUAAAACUCUGUUGUUGGAGAAGAAUGUAUCUGAUAGUAACUGAUCAGGUAGUGACGGUAUCCAACCAGAAAGCCACGGCUAACUACGUGCCAGCAGCCGCGGUAAUACGUAGGUGGCAAGCGUUGUCCGGAUUUAUUGGGCGUAAAGCGAGCGCAGGCGGUUUCUUAAGUCUGAUGUGAAAGCCUUCGGCUCAACCGAAGAAGUGCAUCGGAAACUGGGAAACUUGAGUGCAGAAGAGGACAGUGGAACUCCAUGUGUAGCGGUGAAAUGCGUAGAUAUAUGGAAGAACACCAGUGGCGAAGGCGGCUGUCUGGUCUGUAACUGACGCUGAGGCUCGAAAGCAUGGGUAGCAAACAGGAUUAGAUACCCUGGUAGUCCAUGCCGUAAACGAUGAGUGCUAGGUGUUGGAGGGUUUCCGCCCUUCAGUGCCGCAGCUAACGCAUUAAGCACUCCGCCUGGGGAGUACGACCGCAAGGUUGAAACUC